CUUCCUUGAUCUGUGGUUUGGUUUAUGUCAUUAAUUUUGGAAAAUUCUCAACUAUUAUUUCAAAUCUCUUUCCUGCUCCAUUCUCUCUUCACCUACUGUUCCCAUGUGUGUUACACCUUUUUGUAAUCAUCCCAGAACCCUCAAAUAUUCUGUUCUGCUUUUUUCAUCCUUUUUUCUGUUCGCUCCUCAGUUUGAGAAGUAUCUGUUGACUUACCUUGAAGCUGUCUUGAGGGAUUUGUUCCUUGGCCAUGUCCACUCUGCUAAAAGGCUCAUCAAAGGGACCCUUCAUUUCUGUUAUGGUGUUUUGUAUUUCUAGUAUUUUUUUCUUAGCGUUUCCAUCUCUCUGCUUACAUUACCCAUCGGCUCUUGCAUAUUAUGCACUUUUUCCAUUAGAGUGCUUACCAUGUUAAUCAUAGUUGGUUUACAAUCCUGGCGUGAUAACCCCAACAUCUCUGCCAUGUCUGAGUCUAUUGUAUAUUACAGGAGCCUGUCGAUGUGGUGGUCCGGUGAGGGGACAGGAAGUGUCCUGCAGUCCUCCUGUGUCCUUGGGCUGGAACCUCCACAAGUGCCUCCCAGUCAUUUUUCCCCUUUAGUGAGACAGGAAGGCUCGAGGAGCUGGGGCUGCGUCCCUGCCCUUCCCCAAGUCAGAGACGGCUCUGGUGAAGCUUUUCCCUUGGUGAGGAGGUGUCUGUGGUGGAGACAGCUGUGGGCUUAAUUCGGAAUGGCUACUCUUCCCCUCCCCCGGAACAAACAUGAGGGGAUUUUCCUCUGGUCUUCAUGACGGGAAUUCGGUGCUCUAGGAAACACAAGCUACGGAAGUGUGGCGGCCCCUCAGCCUGUGCCUCAACGGGUUUUACUCUCAAGCACGCCCACACUCGGCCUCCAGAAGUUCAUCAAGUUUCCAUCUAAGCGCCCCACGAUCCCCGGCCCAGCAGCUUCUGUCUCUCAUGAGCUGUUUCUCUGGCUCCACCCGUCUGUGUCCAGCUCUCAGGGCAGCAGUUUGCCCUCUGACCUCAAUCCUCUAACAGAUCUAAGAAAAGUCAUUGAUUUCAGUUGGUUCAUCUUUUUUCAUGUUAUGAGGGAAGGAGAAAUAACUUCUAAGCUCUUUACAAGUCAGAGCAGAAACGAGAAGUCUCCAGUACAACCACUUUGGAAAACUCCAUGGCAGACUCUCAAAAAGUGAAAAAUAUUCCAACCAUAUGGUCCAGCCAUUCUACUCCUACGUAUGUACCCAAGAGAAACAAAAGUAUGUGGAUACAAAGACUUAUACACAAAUGUUCAUACCAGCUUUCUUCGUAAUAGCCAAAAACUGGAAACAAUCUAAAUCCCCAUCAACAGGGAAAAGGACAAAUGUGAUAUAUCCAUACAAUGAAAUACUGCUCAGCAAUAAAAAAAUGAGUUGUUGAUACAUGCAAAAAACAUGAAUU
rnacentral:lncRNA from 1 species